GACUAACAAGUAGAUUUCAAAUUCAUUGGAACUUGUCAGUAGGGUCGACCGGACAUUCCACAGUCACCAUGUAGCCUUCAGUGCAGUGUUUCCCUUUUCUCUC